AAAAUGAAAUUCUUCAGUAUAAUUGCCGUAUUAAUGGCCGUGAUAUGUUUAUUUUCGGUGAACUCCGCACCCGCUCCUGCCCCAGUCCCUGGCAAGUUAACGGCUAUCAAGACAGCCGGUCGAUAUAUUGGGAAAGGUCUGAAUGCGAUUGGCGCAGCAGAUGCAAUUUACGACGGAUAUCGCUUCAUCACUGGGAAAAAACACUAACUAAAUGGCUCGUUUACGAUUUUUAGCACUUACAUCAUAGUAUUCUUAUUUUAGCAGUCAUGUUGAUUUUGUUAGAGCUAGAUUAAUAGUCAAUGCAAAUAAAGAAACGCAUUACCUACUUAGGCUGGGUUGCAUAAUCUUACUUUGACUUUAACAAACGUCAAAAAUCUGUCAAACUCGCUACAUACAACACCGGUUAUCGUUAUAGUUACUGUUAAAGUUAGGUGGUGCAACUCAGCCUUUAUACUAAUAAAUUAUAACCUGAGAGUCGAAUAUAUUUAGUAAUUACACAUUAUAUUGAACCAAAUUAAUUGAUAGCCUUUUAGCGAUAAGGAUUUGGGCAUUUUAAUUACUGUAAACCUACGUAUUAUUAAGUUUACGGUUAGUGAUCCCUAUGUAAUAAUUAUACGAUAUCGAUAAGGGGUGUGUAUUAAUACACUUAAAUGAGUUUAAUAUUAUUAAUAAACUUAUAAUUACA